rnacentral:tRNA from 1 species
GAGCCCGUGGUCUAGCGGUAUGAUACGACAUUCACACUGUCGUGGUCGCCGGUUCGAACCCGGCCGGGCUCA